AGGGGCCUGUUGCACAAAAGUAGAAUUAAGACAUCCGGGAUAAAUGACUCAGCUGAGCUCAAUGAAGCCAAAACAUGUGCGUCCAGGCUUAAUUGGUUGCACAAAGACCAAGCCAGGAUGAGCAGACACGGAUUCAUUAAGCCAGGUGAAACCAAUCCUGGAUAGGUGCGCGCUCACGGCUCACUCAAAUAGACCCCGCCACAGAUCACAGAUUAACUGAUUUACCAUGGCAACUAGAGCCGCGUACUUUUCCCCGUCGGAAGCACAAAUCCUCAUGGAGGCAUACGAGGAGGUAAAAGAUAUAAUUAAGAAGAAAGGCAACACCGCCACAGUGAUAAAGCAAAGAGAAAAAGCGUGGCAAAGUAUUGCAGACCGCCUGAAUGCGUAAGUAGUGCACAAUUACACACUCACCACUCCGCUGAAACAUCACAAUUACAAUUCAAAUAUUUAAUUCACAUCUCCAAAAAUGCAGUUGUACUGUAAUUAUGAAACGGUUAAAUUUUUAAUUGAAAUGCACUGCAGAUAUGAGUGAAAUUGUGUAAAGUAACUCCAUCACACUGUAUAAAGCUAUGAUAAAUGUUUUGAUAUUUUUACUGAAAACAAGACAAAAAUACCAAGUAAUUUUUUGCAGUGUGACUCCAUUAAAUGUGUGUGUGUGUGUGUGUGUGUGUGUGUGUAGAUUAAACAUGAACGGGCCAAAACGGACAUGGCAGCAGGUCAAAAUCAAAUACAAGAACAUUCUGCAGAAUGCAGUGAAAAAGAAUACCCACAGACAAGGCACGGGUGGUGGGUCACCAAAGGCUGACCUUACCCCAGCAGAGGACAUGGCCUUGGAGCUAAAUAAAGGCAGGCCCGUCUUAGAGGGGAUCCCUGGGGGGAAAGAGACGAGCAUAGGUUCCUCCCAAGAUGCCACCCGCUUCAUUCAAGUGCCUGGCAGCACUGUGUUCCUGUUAGAGCCACCAGCACAAGCACCAGACGAUGCUGAUCCAGGUGAAGGCCCCAGUGCAGCAGCAACAGCACAUGAUGGAGACGAUGAUGAGGAGGAGACCAUCUCUCUGGAUUCCAGAAGGCAUGAGGACCCAGAUGCUAUACAGUGGGAAAACCAGCCUGGCAACAUAGUGCGUAUUAAUAAAAGGACACCACAUCCUGCCAAAUUCCAGCUGCGCUAAUUGUAUUGUGUUCACAGAGCUCACAAGCUAUCAGAAAGUUGUAUGGCAACCACCUCCGGCGCCAAAUAGAACUGGCAGACAUAGACAUUCAGUACAAGAAGAAAAAGAUGGAAAAUCUUGCACUGGAGUCCGAAAUAAGAGGACAAUUAGGAAACUGGACCUUGAAAUAAAAAAACUUGAGAGGGAGCUCCAAGAAGAUGACACAGCUCAAAAUAAAAAUUAGCAAUCAGUACAACCAAGUCAUCGUUAUAAGGCAUCGCCCUCUUUUGCCCACCCCCCCAGCACCAGGUGUGGCCACUAGCCUAUAUGAAGGCCCAAAAUUGUGUGUUCCUUUCUGCUCUGACAAUGGCAUGCCCAUUCGUGCGAGAUGUGGUGGAUGAAGAAGCACUUGUGCUGAGGAGAGCCUUCAGGCGAGAAAGGGUCUUCAGGGACCGGUUGGACCCACUGGCCUUCCCUGAUGACCAUCUAUAUGAAAGAUACAGGUUUUCUGCAGAUGGCAUCAGGUAUCUAUGCAGACUACUGGGUCCCAGGAUUAAGCACCGCACUGCACGGAGCCAUGCACUGAGUGUGGAGCAAAUGGUUUGUGUGGCCUUGCGCUUUUUGCUAGUGGAGCCUUCCUGUACUCAGUGGGGGAUGCAGAACAGCUGAACAAGGCCACAAUUUGCCGCACAAUAAGGAGUGUGUGUCUGGCUAUCAAAGCAUUAGCAGAUGUCUUCAUCUCCUUCCCUGGCCACAGAAGACUCUGUGACAUCAAAGAGGAGUUCUAUAGGAUUGCAGAUGGUCUGCAAUGCUGACUGUGUGAUCAGCAAUGUUGUGGCAAAAUGGCCUGGCUCAGUCCAUGACUCCAGAAUCUUUCGGGCC